GCCCCCCUUUGCCCUCUCUGCUUUGAUCAUGCCACAUGGCUAAGUCCUUUUGCUCUGGGGGAAAGAGAACCAGAAUCAGUUUUGGGUAGAUCUGAGUGGCUUCUCUGUGGCUUGGCUUGGGAUUACUUGGGACAUUGAAUAAACUGCCUUUAGCCUCACGGCUGUGGUUUCCCCAUCUUUGGAAAGCAUUCAAGGUACCCCCCUACUGAUUUGUUAGUAUUUUAAGUCCACAAGGAAAGAAAGAUGCUUUGAAAAUACAGAAUGCAGUGUUUUCCAAUUCAGACCCUAGGAUCCCUGCCUGAGCGGACAGGGUGCUUGCUGCCUUUGCAGGAUGCUGUUUUGGCUGAGGCUGGGAUAUGCUUAUCUCUGGAGACUUCUUGAACUCCAAGCUGACCCCAGUGCCAGAGCUGAGCAGGAUAAAAAGCUUCACAAGUAAAAAGCAUCGAAGGCAGCUCACCAGCAAAGCGGUAGAACAGAGCGUCCGAAGCAUCCUACGGGUAAGAACUCUGCCACUCAAGGUGUGAAAUGAAUUGUCCUCAGACUGAUGGAAAGGCCAUGUUUAGGCUCCUGG